rnacentral:pre_miRNA from 1 species
UAUGUAAUCCCUCCGUUCAACAAGAUGUCUCAAGUUUGUCAAAAUUCAUAUGUAUCUAGUCAUGACUUAGUGUAUAGAUGCAUUCAAAUUUACUUAAAGUUGAGACAUCCUUUGUUGGACGAAGGAAGUAGUGU